CUAGUAACGGCGAGUGAAGCGGCAACAGCUCAAAUUUGAAAUCUGGCGUCUUUGGCGUCCGAGUUGUAAUUUGCAGAGGGCGCUUUGGCAUUGGCAGCGGUCCAAGUUCCUUGGAACAGGACGUCACAGAGGGUGAGAAUCCCGUACGUGGUCGCUAGCCUUUACCGUGUAAAGCCCCUUCGACGAGUCGAGUUGUUUGGGAAUGCAGCUCUAAAUGGGAGGUAAAUUUCUUCUAAAGCUAAAUACUGGCCAGAGACCGAUAGCGCACAAGUAGAGUGAUCGAAAGAUGAAAAGCACUUUGGAAAGAGAGUUAAAAAGCACGUGAAAUUGUUGAAAGGGAAGCGCUUGCAGCCAGACUUGCCUGUAGUUGCUCAUCCGGGUUUUUACCCGGUGCACUCUUCUAUAGGCAGGCCAGCAUCAGUUUGGGCGGUUGGAUAAAGGUCUCUGUCAUGUACCUCUCUUCGGGGAGAACUUAUAGGGGAGACGACAUGCAACCAGCCUGGACUGAGGUCCGCGCAUCUGCUAGGAUGCUGGCGUAAUGGCUGUAAGCGGCCCGUCUUGAAACACGGACCAAGGAGUCUAACAUCUAUGCGAGUGUUUGGGUGUCAAGCCCGAGCGCGUAAUGAAAGUGAACGGAGGUGGGAACCCCUCGGGGUGCACCAUCGACCGAUCCUGAUGUCUUCGGAUGGAUUUGAGUAAGAGCAUAGCUGUUGGGACCCGAAAGAUGGUGAACUAUGCUUGAAUAGGGUGAAGCCAGAGGAAACUCUGGUGGAGGCUCGCAGCGGUUCUGACGUGCAAAUCGAUCGUCAAAUUUGGGCAUAGGGGCGAA
rnacentral:rRNA from 1 species